GAAUUUGUUCCAUUGCUGUUCCAGCAGGUUUUCAGCAUCAGUGAAAUGAUUGUGCCGUCAUGAGCUGGAAUACUGAGACGGGGAGAUGUAUUAGAUCAUUGAAGUCCAUCACAGGAAUGAGGCCAUAACAUGCUCUCUUAGUCUUCAAGUAAAAGUUUGUAUAGGCAUGGCCGAUCUUUAAAGUCAAAUCCUUCAGUGAAAAACUUCUGAUGCAAACAACAAUAUCGAAAGGAUUCAGUAGCUGCCUCUACGCUAACCAGAACCACCACUCAUACUUUUCCAAGAUGAAAGGAAGAAAGGAUAUGAGCAUGGAAGAAUCAUAGUCCAGCUACUCCAUGUGGAGAGAGCAGGAAUCUAAGCAUCCGCGAUAACGCGCCCACUGCAGCAGCUGCCCAGGGUUGAACAUCACGGUGCAGAGCUGCAGGCGACCACGACAGCACCAGACGGCUGUUCUACCACUGUGUUUAAAUUCUCUCAUCACCAAGCUAUAAGGAGCGUAACACGUUCAGCACCGGUCAGCUUCCGUUUAACUGAUUCUAAUGCAUUGAGGUUUUAUUGUCUUAGCAAAGCAAUGCUCACGAGAAUAGACACUGAAUAAUACGAAAGGCCAAGAAAUGGUCCUCCUAGUACUAUUCAAAAUGGUGGGGAAAUAAUAACUUCACAGAGGGGAAACCUGGCUGGCACGCCUCAGCCAAAUGGUGAGAGCUAACUUUCCAGUGAUGGGGCCAACCCAAGGGUCUCUAAGUAGGGUGCAGAGAAAAACCGAGCUCUAUGCUUGCAGUGCAACCACCAAAAGCACGUCACUUGGACCCGGUCGGGAGGAAACCUCACAAACCUGAGUUAACUGAGAGCUAAUCUACAAAAUAACUGGCUCAUGCUCCUCAAGCAUGACCUGAGAAAGAAAGAAAGACUCACAAAGAUACUCCGCAUCCUGGGAGACUGGAGACAGGAUGGCAGAAUUUCUGUUUUGGGUGACUGGUGCUAUAAAACCUAGUGCUGGGACAACUGGCAUCAUUUUAAUAAGGUCUGUAGGUGAGGCAAUGGUGGUGUUGCUGAGUUAAUUUCCUGAUUUCGCUCUUGGUCCUGUGGUCAUGUAAGAGAAUCUGUGGUUUUGGGAAAUGCAGAGGGAGAUACUUAAAAAGUCAUGGUAUCUGCAGCUUAUGUUGAGGUGGGCAAAACGUUGCAGACCUUGGUCAGUGGUGGUUACUGUCCUUAUGUGAACACAGACAUUGAGGGCCAUCAAAUGCAUGAAUGCCAUUGUUUGUAAUUACACUCAUAAAAUGCUCAUUUUGGCAUAGUUCUUUCAGGCUUUGUGAGGUACAGUAGUUCCGCAAGCAUGAAGUCAUGUGAGCCAGCUUCACACUUCUUAUACAUAUGGUUUUCUGUUUACUGAUUAGUAGGCUGGCUCAGCGUUGUAUGAAAUUCAAUAAAUUGUCACCAAACUGUGAGA